AUGGUUAAGUUAGAAAGGGCGCACGGUGAAUGCCUUGGCACUAGGAGCCGAUGAAGGACGGGACUAACACCGAUAUGCUUCGGGGAGCUGUAAGUGAGCUUUGAUCCGGAGAUUUCCGAAUGGGGAAACCCACUGUUCGUAAUGGAACAGUAUCUUUAUCUGAAUACAUAGGAUAUUGAAGGCAGACCCGGGGAACUGAAACAUCUAAGUACCCGGAGGAAGAGAAAGCAAAUGCGAUUUCCUGAGUAGCGGCGAGCGAAACGGAAUUAGCCCAAACCAAGAGGCUUGCCUCUUGGGGUUGUAGGACACUCUAUACGGAGUUACAAAGGAACGAAGUAAAUGAAGCGACCUGGAAAGGUCCGUCAAAGAAGGUAACAACCCUGUAGUUGAAACUUCGUUCCCUCUUGAGUGGAUCCUGAGUACGGCGGAACACGUGAAAUUCCGUCGGAAGCUGGGAGGACCAUCUCCCAAGGCUAAAUACUACCUAGUGACCGAUAGUGAACCAGUACCGUGAGGGAAAGGUGAAAAGCACCCCGGAAGGGGGAGUGAAAGAGAUCCUGAAACCGUGUGCCUACAAGUAGUCAGAGCCCGUUAAUGGGUGAUGGCGUGCCUUUGUAGAAUGAACCGGCGAGUUACGAUCCCAUGCAAGGUUAAGCUGAUAAGGCGGAGCCGUAGCGAAAGCGAGUCUGAAUAGGGCGUUUAGUAUGUGGUUGUAGACCCGAAACCAGGUGAUCUACCCAUGUCCAGGGUGAAGUUCAGGUAACACUGAAUGGAGGCCCGAACCCACGCACGUUGAAAAGUGCGGGGAUGAGGUGUGGGUAGCGGAGAAAUUCCAAUCGAACCUGGAGAUAGCUGGUUCUCUCCGAAAUAGCUUUAGGGCUAGCCUCAUGUUGUGAGAGUCUUGGAGGUAGAGCACUGAUUGGACUAGGGGCCCCCAACGGGUUACCGAAUUCAGUCAAACUCCGAAUGCCAAAGACUUAUCCAUGGGAGUCAGACUGCGAGUGAUAAGAUCCGUAGUCAAAAGGGAAACAGCCCAGACCACCAGCUAAGGUCCCCAAGUAUACGUUAAGUGGAAAAGGAUGUGGAGUUGCUUAGACAACCAGGAUGUUGGCUUAGAAGCGUACCACCAUUUAAAGAGUGCGUAAUAGCUCACUGGUCGAGUGACUCUGCGCCGAAAAUGUACCGGGGCUAAACGUAUCACCGAAGCUGUGGAUUGACAUCUUAGAUGUCAGUGGUAGGAGAGCGUUCUAAGUGCUGUGAAGUCAGACCGUAAGGACUGGUGGAGCGCUUAGAAGUGAGAAUGCCGGUAUGAGUAGCGAAAGACAAGUGAGAAUCUUGUCCACCGAAUGCCUAAGGUUUCCUGAGGAAGGCUCGUCCGCUCAGGGUUAGUCGGGACCUAAGCCGAGGCUGAAAAGCGUAGGCGAUGGCCAACAGGUUGAUAUUCCUGUACCACCUCCCCGCCGUUUGAGUAAUGGGGGGACGCAGUAGGAUAGGGUAAGCGCGGCCGCUGGAUAUGCGCGUUCAAGCAGUUAGGCUGAUGAGUAGGCAAAUCCGCUCAUCAUAAAGGCUGAGCUGUGAUGACGAGGGAAUUAUAGUACCGAAGUUCCUGAUUCCACACUGCCAAGAAAAGCCUCUAGCGAGGCGGGAGGUGCCCGUACCGCAAACCGACACAGGUAGGCGAGGAGAGAAUCCUAAGGUGAUCGAGAGAACUCUCGUUAAGGAACUCGGCAAAAUGACCCCGUAACUUCGGGAGAAGGGGUGCUCUGGUAGGGUGUAUAGCCCGAGAGAGCCGCAGUGAAUAGGCCCAGGCGACUGUUUAGCAAAAACACAGGUCUCUGCGAAGCCGCAAGGCGAAGUAUAGGGGCUGACGCCUGCCCGGUGCUGGAAGGUUAAGAGGAGGGGUUAUCCUUUGGGAGAAGCUCUGAAUCGAAGCCCCAGUAAACGGCGGCCGUAACUAUAACGGUCCUAAGGUAGCGAAAUUCCUUGUCGGGUAAGUUCCGACCCGCACGAAAGGCGUAACGAUCUGGGCACUGUCUCAACGAGAGACUCGGUGAAAUUAUAGUACCUGUGAAGAUGCAGGUUACCCGCGACAGGACGGAAAGACCCCGUGGAGCUUUACUGUAGCCUGAUAUUGAAUUUUGGUACAGCUUGUACAGGAUAGGUAGGAGCCUGAGAAGCCGGAGCGCUAGCUUCGGUGGAGGCGUCGGUGGGAUACUACCCUGGCUGUAUUGAAAUUCUAACCCGCGGCCCUGAUCGGGCCGGGAGACAGUGUCAGGUGGGCAGUUUGACUGGGGCGGUCGCCUCCUAAAAUGUAACGGAGGCGCCCAAAGGUUCCCUCAGAAUGGUUGGAAAUCAUUCGUAGAGUGUAAAGGCACAAGGGAGCUUGACUGCGAGACCUACAAGUCGAGCAGGGACGAAAGUCGGGCUUAGUGAUCCGGUGGUUCCGCAUGGAAGGGCCAUCGCUCAACGGAUAAAAGCUACCCCGGGGAUAACAGGCUUAUCUCCCCCAAGAGUCCACAUCGACGGGGAGGUUUGGCACCUCGAUGUCGGCUCAUCGCAUCCUGGGGCUGUAGUCGGUCCCAAGGGUUGGGCUGUUCGCCCAUUAAAGCGGUACGCGAGCUGGGUUCAGAACGUCGUGAGACAGUUCGGUCCCUAUCCGUCGUGGGCGUAGGAAAUUUGAGAGGAGCUGUCCUUAGUACGAGAGGACCGGGAUGGACACACCGCUGGUGUACCAGUUGUCUUGCCAAAGGCAUCGCUGGGUAGCUAUGUGUGGACGGGAUAAGUGCUGAAAGCAUGUAAGCAUGAAGGCCGCCGGAAGAUGAGAUUGGCCAUAGCGCAAGCUAGUAAGAUCCCUGAAAGAUGAUCAGGUUGAGAGGUCAGAGGUGGAAGCGUGGCGACAUGUGUAGCUGACUGAUACUAAUCGAUCGAGGACUUAACCAAAC
rnacentral:rRNA from 1 species